CUUAGCCCCCUGACAGCUCCCUCGUAUGGCAUCAAAGAAUUUGGCUCUUUGGGAAAGCAGAGGGAACAGCCGAAAUUCCACAUCCCUUUAAAAGGCCUGGGGGUGGGGGGUGUUAGCAAAAGAGAAAGGUGAUUCUGGGAGAGCAGGGAAACAGAUGGGAAAUGGGAACAGAGGAAGGGCGCUGGGUUGGGUGGAAAGUUUGUCUGGAGAACUCCCACGGCUCUGGCCUCCCCUCCCCCUCCUUGCUCGCUGCCUCCUAGCAAGAAGGAGAAGACUGGUUAGCAGAGAAAUAGCAACUCGGCCGGGAGCUGGAACUAGAAACUUUCUGUCAAUGUAACAGACGCGUGGGUGGUGACCCAAUGGUGGUUGGGCUUCGGGUCACGUGAUGACUUCUUUGUCGCUCCGGAAGAGAACUGUGAAGUUUAGGUUGCGUAGAAUUGCCAGGAAAAAAAAAAUUCAAGAUUUGGGGGAAUUACCCACAUAGACGGAAGGUAAGUUGGUUGGUUGGCUGGUGAUGGUCUAGCCAUCUUGUCUGUUUUUUAAAAUGUGCUUCUCUGCCUUGUUUCCCUAUCUCCUCUUUCUCUACCCCCCUCUCGAGGAUGGAAUUCCAACUGGGUAUUGCUGGAGGCCUAGGAUUGAUAGGGUCAUCUCCAAUCUGCUGUAGAUUCCUUUCCAAUGGGUUGGCAGGCAGACUUAACAAGAGCUGCAGAACUUAAAAAGCAACUUCUCAGGCCAGGGGAAGGGGAAGGAUCUCCAGGCCCUUUCUUCCCGGGAGGCCUGACUGCCACCUCCCUGCCUCCUCUUUCAGAUCUCCAGGCUGUCCCCCAGAAUUCCACAGCCCCCGCCCCUCCUGGAUCUCCCCCACCCCAGGACCUGCCCCUCAGCCCUCCCUCUCCCAUCACAGGUGUGUUAACUUGGGCGCUUCUUGGAUUCUACCCUGAGGAGGAGGCGCAUGGUGAGAGGAGAGGUCUGUGUAGGUGGGGUGGGGGUCGCAGGGUCCGUGGUGCUGGCUGGGGGCCAUAGGGGGCGCCCCGUUGUAGUCCAGGUUCCCCGAGGGGUGGUGGGAAAGGUGGUUGAGGCCGUAGAGGGAGGGGCCGGCAGGGGGCGGCAGCGGAUCCGCGUAGCCGCCCCCGCCCACAUACACGGGGCUGCCCUGCAUGGUGGGCGUCCCGUAGGCGCCCCCGUUGGCUUGGAGGACAUGAGGCUCGUAAUCGGGCGCCGGGGUCGGGGGGUACUUCUGAGGGGCGCCGCAGCCUUUGCGGGGGGGCUGGUAGUUGGAGGGCAGCGCAUAGGCAUUCUGGUGGGCUUUGCCGAAGGCGGGCGGGGACGGGCUCUCGUAGCUGGGGAUCAUGGAAUGCAAGGCGUUCAUGAAGCCGGCCGUGGACUGCAUGGGCUGCGGGGGGCUGCCAGCGGGGGAGGGGCCCCCCGAAGACGAGGCCAGGCCCUUGGCCUUCUGGUCCUUCUUGUACUUCAUGCGCCGGUUCUGGAACCAGAUCUUGAUUUGCCGCUCGCUGAGGUUCAGCAGGUUGGCCAUCUCCACGCGGCGCGGCCGGCACAGGUAGCGGUUGAAGUGGAACUCCUUCUCCAGCUCCACCAGCUGCGCGCUAGUGUACGCCGUCCGCGCCCGUUUGGACGCCGCCGACCCCGGGGGGCUCUUGUCCCCUCCCCCGCCGCCGCCGCCCCCGCCGCCGCCACUGCCUCCUCCGCCUCCGCCGCCGCCGCAGCCCUCUGCUGGAUCCGAGGGGGAGGGGUGGGAAGGGGAGAAAAUGAAAUAAAAGAUAAUUACUGA